ensembl:lncRNA
CGCAUGUGUUGCUGCAGCUGUUGUUUAGCGCCGUGUUGCAGUACGUGCUUAAAAAAACUAUGCAGCCACAGACUUUCUAACUCUUACCAACCACCGAUGUGUUCGUUUUCUGCUUCAGCUGUAGACUGAGAAGAUGUGGCAGUGAAGAUGAUGCCUUCAGAUAAUAUCUUGUUUUCUCUACAAGAAAGCUGUCUAGGAAUCUAGCCAGGUGCCUGAGCAAGGACCAGGAUUUUUGACAUAAUCUAGCAGUUUCUAAUGACUUUGGGCUUUAAAUGUCAAUAUGGAUGGCAUUGAGGAGAGCUACAUCUGGGAGCGCCGCAUUGCCCAUGGCAUUAGGUAUCAAAAAGGAGCAGUCCCCUUCCCAGAAUUGGUUGAUAUUGGUCUGGAGUUCAAUGCGGCACUUGAAAGGAAGGAGAAGUUGGAUCAGAGCCUGCUGACGAAUAGUGUUAUGCUGGAAAUUUGUCAGUUUGCCAAAACAGUGAACAGGUCUGAGAAGUAUUUCCUGUUCGAAAUGCUGGAGUUCAACUUCGACCUUGGCUUUGACAUAAACAAUGACAGUCUGUGCUACAUCUAUGCAGUUCGUGUCCACAACAAAAUUAAACACCUGAAGGAGCAAAUAAAGAUGAAGCCAAAUAGAUGGAAAGAAACAUUUCAGUUGCCAAAUCCAAGUGUUUUAGCCGGGUCCAAAGAAGACGUGUCAGGACGAUACUGUCCUAAAUGGAACAAAAUUGCUGAUAGUUCAGUGCUCACUGUCUCCAGCAAGAACUGUCAGUCUUCAGACAACCACGAAGCUGAAACUACCAGAGAUGCUAGCAAUAAAUACACUGUAAAAAAACAAGGAGGAAUCCGUUUAAGAAAAACACUGGGCGCUAACCCUUUCUGUGCACAACUUGGUGUGACCCUAGCUAUUCGACCAAGUCACGCCCCCAAACAGAAACUGGACCCAAGUCUGCUCACCAACGGUGUGAUGAUAGAGAUGCUUGAUUUUUCCCGAGUGCUGUGUGGAAAACACACUUACCUAGUUUAUGAACUGGUCAAGCACAACUUUGGUUAUGCUUUUGAUAAACCUCAGUUCCGAAUGUGUCUAAACAGGGUGAUAGAGAGAAAAUACACCUGUCUGACAGCUGAGGACAAAGACACUUUCAGAAAGGAACUUUUUAAGAUCCCGGCUGAGAAGAAUAAAUUGGAAUAUAAAGACAAAGGAUGCAAGUCAAGAAUCGUACUGGUGUCUGUUCUCUGAGGGAAGAUGUGCAGAAACCCCAAAGCAGAGGCUGUGGCUGAGGCGCGCCGCUCGCACACAACAGAUCCUGAUGUCAAGCCGAGUCAAUGAUAUGUUCGCCCACUGCAGAGAGAUCGGAUUAGACUUCAACUUUUGCUCACCAAAACGGAGCUUAGAUCUACA